UGCAAAAUUAAAAAUCUUUAAAAAUUGCAAAUUUAACAAAUGAAAAUCGCAAUUAAAAAAAAGCUCACAAUAUUUUUGGUCACAUUUUAGUAGAAGUUCCUGGCAUCGUCCUUUACAACAUCUGAUAGGUUUCAAAAAUUCCUGAAUUAUAUCACGUUUUUUCACCCACAGCCUGGGGUAUAAGUAAAUUGUGUUUUAUUUGAACCAAUUUUAUAUUUGUGUUUUGUCCGUUUAUACAUCCAGAUUUUUUUAACUUUGAUAAAUUUUCUUAAGUCAAUUGAGAUUUUUUAUUUCUGAAAAUUUGUGACACUCAAGGGAUCAUACCUUUGCUUAAAGAUCUCUUUAUAUUCUUUAGAUUCACCAUGUUAGUUUAUUUACAAAAAUACAAAAUUUAAUCUUUUGCGGUCGAUGGUGAUUCUCAACUAUAUAAUAUGUUACGUUAACAAUUAUUGUAAAAGACUGAUAUGUUUUGUACACUCUUAUGAAUAGAGAGCGAAUUAUAUGCAACACAACAUUACCAAAAUAUGCGCAUAUACAGGGUGUUAGUAAAUAAGUAUGCAAAAUUUUAAGGGCUAAUUCUACAUGAAAAAAUGAAUGCCAGUUUGCUCUAUAAACAUAUGUCCGCAAAUGCUUAGUUUGGGAGAUACGGGGUGUUGAAAUUUUUAUUUCAAACUGUAAAUUUAUUUAUUGCUCUAAGACCAGUUGAGCUAUGAAAAUGAAAUUUGGUGAGUUUUAAGAGGUAGUUAUUACGAAAUUUAUGACAUACAAUUAAGAAUUUUGUAUUCAUCAUUGACGCGCCUACGGGCAAUGGUCUGACUUAUUUUAAAGAAAAAAAUAGUACGCCACUGAGAUAUUUCGAAUUAGAAAUUAAUUUUAAAUUUCACGUUUAAUUUAUGAUAAAAAACCUUUCCUGCCUUUUUUUCAUAUGAUGCACCGUUUUUAUGCAGAAAAAUAAAACAUUGGCGUAUAUUUUUCAUUUUUUAAUACAUCAUCAAGAACUAUCCAAUAUAAUAAUACUAAACUAGAACAACAACAGAAAACAUUACUAAUACCAUUUCAACUAGGUACAAAGCUGCAAGAAAUGUUUAAAAUGAUCUCAGGUAACAGAAGAAUUUUAUAUUCAUCAUUGUCGCGCGUACGGGUAAUGGUCUGAAUUUUUUGAAGAAAAAAAUUGUACGCCACUGAGAUAUGUCAAAUUAAAAAUCAUUUUUGAAUUCCUCGUUCAAUUGGCCACAAAAAAUCUUUCUUGCCUUUUUUUCAUAUGCGGCGCCGUUUUUGUGCAAAAAAAUUAAACAUCUUAACGUUUACAAAGUAUUUGAACUAAUAUUCUAUGCAUAUGGAAACUACCUCAAGCACUUGGUAAGCGUUACGAUGUUUUAUUUUUUUGUAUAAAAACGGCGCCUCGUAUAAAAAAAGGAAAGAAAGAUUUUUUGUCGUGGAAAAUUGAACGAGGAAUUCAAAAAUGAUUUUUAGUUUGGCAUAUCUCAGUGGCGUACUAUUUUUUUCUUUAAAAAAUUCAGACUAUUACCCGUACGCGCGUCAAUGAUGAAUAUACAAUUCUUCUGUUAUCUGUAAAGGAGAUCAUUUUAAACAUUUCUUGCAGCUUUGCACCUAGUUGAAAUAUUAUUAAAGUCCAUUCAUUUUACAUAUUCCCAACUGUAAACAAACGCGCAUGGAAGCUAAACAGCAAAACCAACACGCUACCUACAGCGAAUUGAAUUUGCAGACUGACCAGUUUGGACCUGUAAAAUGAGAAUCCGCCUCGUUUAGGGCAAUAAAUUACAUUUAACAGCCUCUUUACGAAUGAGACGGCGAAUAGUAACACAUGCGUUUGUUUAUAGUUGGGAAUUUGCUAUUUGAAUAUGGUAAGUAAGUAAGGUAUGCUUUAUUGUCAAAAAUGUUUACCAAUUUGUGGACAAAGCUUAUACAAAAUAAAAAAAUACAAUAAAAAACAAAAAAUAAUAAAAAACUACAAACAAAACAAAAACAGAAAUAGACACCAAGUAAAUGGCGUGAGUUAUACUACUUAAUAUAAUUUUAUAGUUAUUAAGUACACAUUAAAAAAUUUAAAAUUUUGCAAACAAUAUGUAUACAACGUCAGAGCAAAAAGAAGGCGAACGAGGAAAAGGGAAAGGGAAAGUAAAUCAAAAGUUCUAUGCCGCUGCAAAUAUGUAUAAAAGUACUCGAAAGUAAUAAUCCUGUAAGUCAAUUUGCUGAAUUCAAAUCGUUUAUCAAAAAGUCAUUCACUGUAUAAAAAGCUCUCUCCAGCAAAUAAGCUUUCAAGGCCUUGCGAAAAGCGGGAAGUGCUGCAAUAGAUUUGAUGUUAGAUGGCAGGUGAUUGUACAUUUUUCUCGAAUUGUAUAGUAUAGAGCACUUAACCAGCUCAGACCGUGGGGUUGGCAGAUAAAGAUUAUGCUCCACGUUUCUAAGGGGAUAGUUGUGAGUGGGUCUCUCUGGACCUUCUGAUGCAUGUUUGCGGAUUAAACAAACGGAUUCAAAAACAAACAAAGAAGGAAGAGUUAAUAUUUUAAAUUUUUUAAAGAAUUCUUGGCAAUGAACUCUGCUAUUGAGUCUCAGGGAGUAACGAAGAGCUCUCUUUUGUAGUUUAAAAAUACGCUCAAAUUGAGUCGCACAACACGUACCCCAGAAUGGAAGGGCUUAGUAAUAUUUUCUGUUAUUGUUCUAGUUUAGUAUUAUUAUAUUGGAUAGUUCUUGAUGAUGUAUUAAGAAAUGAAAAAUACGCGCCAAGAUGUUUUAUUUUUCUGCAUAAAAACGGUGCAUCAUAAGAAAAAAAGGCAGGAAAGGUUUUUUAUCAUAAAUUAGACGUGGAAUUUAAAAAUAAUUUUUAAUUCGAAAUAUCUCAGUGGCGUACUAUUUUUUUCUUUAAAAAAAUUCAGACCAUUGCCCGUAGGCGCGCCAAUGAUGAAUAUAAAAUUCUAAAUUGUAUGUCAAAAAAUUCGUAAUAACUACCUCCUAAAACUCACCAAAUUUCAUUUUCAUAGCUCAACUGAUCUUAGAGCAAUAAAUAAAUUGGCAGUUUGAAAUAAAAAUUUCAACACCCCUUAUCUCAGAAACUAAGCAUUUGCGGACAUAUGUUUAUAGAUCAAACUGGUAUUAAUUUUUCAUGUAGAAUUAGUCCUUAAAAUUUUUCAUACUUAUUUACUAACACCCUGUAUAUGCAUUACUUUUAAUACAAAUAUGCAAGUAUUUUUUCUAAAUUUGUCUAAAUAUGCAAAUGCAUAUUAAAAAUACUCAAAAAUAAAACAUAUAUUAAGUCGUAAGAUCUUCAGAAAAGUUGCCUUCAAAAAUACGUACAACUUUCCUCAAACAAUCGAAGCCCUCAUUUUUUUCUAAAACAUUUUUUAAUUUAUUUCUAAUUGUAAUCCCUGUAUUUCCGGGAAUUUUUUGACAAUGAGCAGAAAAAGUGUUAACAAGAUUAAACGAAUCACUUAAUUGUAAAUUCCUUUGUUCUAAUGACUUUAUUAGAUCUGGUAAAAAACUAAAAUUAACUUUUAUGAACAUAAGUUCUUUAGCAAUUUGUACGUUACUUAAAGAACAAAGUACGUUACUUAAGCUGAAGAACAAAAGCGGAAUUGUCUACAAUUUGAUGGAUUUUUGUAUUUUGAUGCUUCUCUCUAUGUCCGUCUUUAUAGAAGUAAAAGCGAAUUUGUCGAAUAAAAACACUCUUUCCAGAAAAAUUUCUUUUGUGGGACAUGAUGCUUUUGUUUGUCAGUUCCUCAUUUAAAAAAUGAAAUGUGAAAAUGAAACUUACGAUUUUGGAACAAGCCUUGCAAAAUACUUUGUCUCCACUUAGCUUUAACUCGGGAAAACACUUUAUCCAAGCACUUUUUUGAAUGGUAGACAUAUUUAAAUUUAAUAUAUACCAAUCACUUCAAAAACACUAAAUAAGAUACAACGUUUACUUUAAACAAAUGUUGGCCGGAAACUGACAAAAUAAUUAUUAGACCCUUAAAAGCAGUUAGGUACCUAUGACUUGCUACGCUAAUAAAAUAAUAUUUUUCUGGGAACACCCAUAAUUGUUAAAUUCAGGUAGUAAUGGGAAAGUCCAGAUGAGCGAUAGAUAGAUAAAUAACGAGCUCGUUCAUAUCGAAGUUAUAGAAUUCCAACUAAGAGAGGAAAAUUUUAAACUUUUAUAUAAUUUAUUUUUAAAAUAUGCAAAAUAAAUCGUGUUUAGCUUAAAUAUGCAAUGUUGUGUUUAUUGUCUGAAAAUAUGCAAUAUAUGCAUCUAUAUGCACUUUGCAUAUAUUCCGCUCUCUACUUAUGAAUAAAUGAAUUGAAAAAAGGUUUUUAGAAGUAUGUACAAAGCUAUCUCCAGAGCUAUGCUACAAUAUACACUGAUGAUCAAACCUAGAUCAAACACCUAGAAGGACAAAUACUCUUUGUCCUUCUAGGUGUGGCAUUGACCGGACUAUAACAAUGAUUCUAUUGUAGUGUGUUCCUACUACUACCCCUUCUUAAUAUUUUUAAAUCUAGCAGUUUUUUAUGGCUUACACAGUCAACCUUUUUCAAAAUCUACGAAUCACAGAAGCCCAAAUUUCUGUUAUAUUUUUUAUAAAAUAUCACAUUAAGAUUGUUAAACUGCCGAAUACAAAAAAAUCUGCAUAGUUUUUUAUAUACAUAUUGUUAUAUCACACAUUAUAUUAUAUCAAAUUUAAGAAAAUUUUUGGAUGUAUCGUUUUGCUGGUGAUUAGGUAGGUAUUUCUAGUAAGUAUCUAAAAAGAAGAGUCGCUGGAAUAAGUGAUUUUUCAGUAAGUGCAGAUGUGAAACAAAGGUUUUGACAAACAAAGACAAAACAAAUUUUGUCUAAAAUAUAUUUUAUUGAAAGAUAUACUAAAUAGACAAUUGAUAUUAAUUUAAAGUAACAUUGUAGUAUGGUAUUGAUAGUCUCGUCUCUUUGUUCACAAUGCUUAGCAUUUGCAAUCCAAAAUUUCUAGUCAAAAAUUUUAUUUUUACAAUAUAAUCAUAAGAACUCUUAGAAAUGACGAAUGUUACAAAUAUUGAUCAAAAGCUACAUUAUUGUUUGGUAGUUUACUCAUUUUAAAUAAUUCGUAUAGUACGUUUUGUAAAGGUAAAAUAUUGCAAAACCACUUAAUUUUAAAGAACCGCUUGGAUUGACAUGAAAUUUGGCAUACACAUAGCUAACCAGUCAAAGAAAAAAAGUGAUAUUGUGCCGAUGUGUGCUUUUGCCCUAGGGGUGAGUUUCGCCCCCCUUUUGGGGGUGAAAAAUAUAUGUUCGAAAUAAGUCCGGAAAUGGAUAAAAUGACUAAUUCUAAGCAACUUUUGUUCUAUAAAGUUUUUUCACCAAGUUUACUUUUCGAGUUAUUUGGUCUCAAAUAAUAACUCAAAAAGUAAGUAUUUGGUCGAAAAAAAAAUUCUUAUCAAAAAUAUAGCACGCAAAAAAGUGAAAAACAUGGUGUAUAUAUUAGGUCACUAUACCUAGUAGAAGCAGAGUUAUAGCUAAUAGUUAAUAGUUAAUAGUUUAAAAUAAUUUUUUAGCAUCAAAGGUAAACAAGUUACGCUCAAAAUAAAGUUGGUCCCUUUUUUUAGUAAGAAAUCGGGAAAAUCACCCCCUAAUUAGCAUUUCAAAUGGACUUAAUUGUUACCACUUCACAAGUUUUUUACUCGCGUAUGUAUUGAUCAUAUGAUCUGUAAGUUUCAUCAGUUCAAAGUCCUUAUUUUUGAAAGAGCUGUAGUUAAAAGGACUUGAACGACUCACUUAUCACGAGUGUAUGCAAAUUUAGAAACACCGAAUCUUAACCAAUUUUUAUCUUAUAGAAAAAACAAAAAAAUACAAAAUAUUCAGAAAAGUAAAGCCGACUUUUUUUUAUUGAUUAAGAUUUUUGGUAUAUCUAACAAGUUUUAAGUUAUUUUGAAAAAAAAACAUUUUUUCAAAACUAAAAUUUUUAAAAAUUCUACUUUAAAACCAAAUUUUUUCAAAAAUAAGCACUUUGAAUCGAUGAUACUUACAGAUCAUACAUAUAAACACAACAUAAGUAAAGUAACUUGUGAAGCGAUAACGAUUAAUUUUAUUUAAAUUGUUAAUUGGGGGGUGAUCUUCCUGAUUUUUUUUUGCCAAAACAAAAGGGACCAGCUUUAUUUUGAGCGUAACUUCCUUAUAUUUGAUGUUGGAAAUUUUUUUUAUAAAAACAGAUAUAAAGCUUUUUCAAACACUUUAAGAAAGUUGAAAUGUGUUUUCCCCAAGAAUGCUUCAUUAUUUGGAUAUUUCACAUUGAAUUAUUCUAUUUGGAAUUUUUCGAAUAUGAACCUAUUUUUCAUUAGUUAUAACUCUGCUUUUGCUAUGUAUAGAGACCUAAUAUAUACACCAUUUUUUCCACUUUUUUAUAAGCUAUAGUUUAGCUAAGAAUAUUUUUUUCGACAAAAUUCUUACGUUUUGAGUUAUUUGCGAAAAACCGUCUAAAAACGUGGUUAUUUUGUUGAAAAAUGAACAUAUUCACUUGCAAAUAACUCGAAAAGUAUUGGUUUGGUGAAAAAACUCUAUAGAACAAAAGUUGUUUAAAAUUAGUCAGUUUAUCCAUUUCGGGACUUAUCUUGGACAUAUAUUUUUCACCCCCGAGAUGGGGUGAAACUCACCCCUCAGGGCAAAAGCACGCAUCGGCACAAUAUCAAUUUUUUUCUUUGACAUGUAAGGCUAUGUGUAUGCCAAAUUUCAUAUCAAUCCAAGCGGUUUUUUAAAAUUUACAGCAAAAACCGUGAAAGAAUGUACUAACAAUAACCUUGCUCUUCGAAAAUUAGUUCUCUCACUGCAAUAUUUCUUUUAAACAACUCUUAUGCUAUAUGUAUGCAAGUAUUAUUGUAUCCUAUGUGUCUGUACUAGGCUUUAAAAGUGUAUUCAGUGGUCUUCUUAAAAGUUUUGGUGGCCUUUCAGCCUCAGGAUCUGUGUAAAUAUUCUGCCCUGUUAGCAGACUCUUUUUUCUUAAAUUGCCUAUCCGUGACGAAUGUUGGCGAUCAUCAUGGCCAUUUUUAUCUUAUCUGGAGCAGCGCGGAAAAUGUGAGCAGAUGAUGUGUUGAAUCAGGUACUGAGGAUUUUCAACCAGGGUAUUUUUCUUCAUUCAUUUCAUUCUGACGACUUAUUUGUAACUCAGUCAGUCCGGGGGGUUUUAAGUACAGUGCCGGCAAAAAAAAUCUUUACACUGCCAACUAAAUCACCAAAUUUGAAGACAAUUUGCGUGCGUUCUGUCUGUGCUUGAAGGGGAGGGUAGGGGACGGGGUAUUUGUGUGCGUAUUUGUGACGGCAAUUAUCUGUAGUUUACGGACUGCUUGGCUUAUUUAGGGUAUUCUGCGCAUUUGCACUGUAAACAGUUGGAUUUGUGCGGGUAGUCAGUGUUAAACUACGUGUCAUUUACCUCAUAAAGUUUGAGAUCGUCAAAUUCUAAAUUGAACUGACCAAUAUGGGUCGAAAGAAACUCACAAAAGAGGAGAAGGUUCAUGCUUUAACAUUACUGGAGAAAGGGGACUCUCUUAUUACCGUAGCACGUGAUAUUGGUGUUUCAAGAGAGGCUAUUUAUCAACUGAAACGUUGCAGCCGAACAUUUCAGUUGAUAAAUAGCCCCCCUUGAAGCACCAAUAUCACGUGCUACGGUAAUUACAGAGUCUCCUUUCUCCAGCAAUGUUAAAGCAUGAACCUUCUCCUCUUUUGUGAGUUUCUUUCGACUCAUAUUUGUCAGUUCAAUUUGGAAUUUGACGAUCUCAAACUUUAUGAGGUAAAUGAGACGAAGUUUAACACUGACUACCCGCACAAAUCUAACUGUUUACAGUGCAAACGCGCAGAAUACCCUAAAUAAGCUAAACAGUCCGUAAACUACAGAUAAUUGCCGUCGCAAAUACGCUAUCCCCCGUCCCCUACCCUCCCCUCCAAGCGCAGACAGAACGCAUGCAAAUUGUCUGAAAAUUUGGUGAUUUAUUUGGCAAUGUAAAGAUUUUUUUUGCCGGCACUGUAUACAUCUCAAAUGCUUCCAUUUUUCUGUAUAUAUCAUCGUUCAAGGUCCAGGAUUCAACACCAUAAAAAAGGACAGAGAAGCUGUAGCAUCACAGCAUUCCUACUUUUAUACGAAGAGAGAGAUUGUGGCUCUUAAAGACCCCCAUACGAUUGAAGGUGGAUCUAGCUUUUUCGAUGCGCGGUCUUAUUUCUUGGUUGUUGGUUCAUCCUAUAUUUAUUAUAGUACCGAGAUAGUUGUAGUGCGUCACUAGUUCUAUAGGGGUUGGGUUGACGUUUGACGUAAAGUUUUUUUUGUAAGCAUUUAUUAACAAUCAGAAUUACAUAUUCUAUGAGUUAAUUUGAUAACAAGUACAAUAACUUAUAUCAAUGUAGUAUUGUACACUAAAAUGGCGUUAUGAGGUACAUCACCCAGCGGUUUCACCUCAGUUUCAGCGAAGAUCUAUGGGCCAUAAUCUUCGCAAUUUUAUUAUUAUUGACCUUCUAUUAUUUUUUUCUUACUUAUGAUCAUCAGCUUUGUUUUCUUUACGUUUGUAUUAAGUCCAUAUUGUUGAAGGUAAUAUAUGAUUUUGUUCACACUAUCCUGAUAUAAUCCCAAAGUCGCGCUAAAUGGUAUAAAGGGAGACUAUGAUUAUAAUUAAUACUUAUUAUAUGUUCUUAAAAAAUAAAGUUUCUUAAUGCUAACAUAUCGAUACAAAAGAGACGUUCGUCUAAUUUUAGUUGUAUAAAAAGUAUUUUUUACAUUUUUUUAAUAUAUUAUUAGUAUUUUUUUAUUGGGAAUUAACCAAAAUUUCAGUUCAAAAUACGUUUUAAAAUUAAUUUUGACGUUUCGAUUUUUUGAAACUUCAAAAUAAACAUAUUUUAAAUUGAAAUAAUUGUGGUUUAUUCUCAAUAAAAAUAGUAAGUAAUGUGGACUUAAAUGCGGUGCUAUACUUUCUUCCAUUUUUAUUUUUAGAAUAAAAAUGAUAAACUCAUUUUUGAAUAUUUUAGAAGUUAUGUAGAAAGUUAAAUACUUUGUAUGUCCUUGUAGUCGAAAAUUUAUCAUUCCAGAAGAAGAUUUAGAAAUCAGUUCUAUUUUGUUAAAAAAUCGAACAUGCGUUGGAAAUAAAAAUCACAAUAAGCAAAUAGCAUACGUAACCAAUGAAUUAAAUUACUAUUCUAAUUUUUCUAAGUGGCUUGUCUAGACACCACAAAUUUUUUUGAGAUAGCUCUGUAUUGUAACAUCUCAGUUAUAUAAUCUUAUAUAUUAUUUAACAUUUCGUUAUAACAAAGCUGUCAUCAAUAAAACCAACUACUAAUUAAUUAUUUCUGUAUUGUAAUGUUUAUUUCAUACUAUUCGAUAUUUUUGCAUCGAUUUUGUAAUCGAUUCGGGGGCCACCACCAUAGUGGGACAGCCGGAAUUAGUUCGCUUCGGGAUACACCACAGGCCGAUGGUGAUGGCCCCCCGAAUCGAAUUAAAUCUAAAGCUGCCUUUCCUUAUUUAAUUUUACUCAUAUUUGAGUACUAAGGAUGCAGAAUUCUGUUGGAAUUUUAUAUAGAUAAUAGACCAAGGGGCAGCGCUGAAAAAUCUCUUUGAAUUUACUAAAGCUAGAUUUUUCACAGUUGAUUACUGUGAGUGUGUAGAGAAACAUACUGCGGUCGGUCAAGCGAAACGUAGAACGGGUUACUGAGAGGGUAUCAAAGUUGCUUUCCUACGAAGGUAAUUAAAUCCAUUUACUAAGGCUGAAAAUCAGUACACACAUUCUAAAUUAAAUAUAAAUAAAAGUUAUUAUAGUCGGUCAGCUGCAUGAUGGGACAGAGCCGGUCGGUCGGCCCCAAUAGUCGAUUGAGGAAAUGAAGCAUUUUGGCUCGCAAUUUUUUCGUCCGGCAUGGAUUUACUUGAAAUUUUUACAGAAGGUAGGGAAUAGUCCAAGGAUCAUUUUCUAUAUCAUGCCGCUAUCAUACGCUAAAACCUUGCGGGUGGUUGCCACCCCAUCUCGGGGGGUGGGAAUUUUUUAUUACAUUUUAACCAUGUAAUUCGAUGGAAAAGCUGAUUCUAAGAAGACAAUGUUUUUUACAUUUUCUUCGUAAAACUAAUAUUUUUCGAGUUAUUCGCGCUUGAAAAUAUCAGUUUUUCGACGAAAAAAUCGACUUUUUAGAGGGUUUUUUGAGAAUACCUCGAAAAAUAUUCUAUAUAUUUUUGGCGAUAAAAAGUUUCUUCAUAAAUGAUUUUGUAGGAUCUUUGAAGAGCUAUAAGACUGUGUAAAUUAAAUUCCGUAAGAUCCCUUAGUUUUUAAUUGGGGAGGGUUUAAAGGGCUCGAAUAAAGGGGUGUAUGCUGGUAAAUAGAGGUUUUAAACAGCUAUAUAUGGCUAACUAUUCACUGUAAUGAAAAUCUAUGCACAGGGUAAUUUUAGCCAUUAAAAAAGAUACAAUUUAGUAGUUUAUAAUUUUUUUCGUAUCUUCAGUAUUUUAGGAGAUAUUUUAAAGUAAAAGGUGAAAAAUACCAAAUUGCAAAAAAUCAAUUUUUCUUUAAACUCCAAUUUUUCCAAAAUUAGGCGUUUUAAAUAGGUCAAACUCCUUGAGUGUAUUGAUAAUAUAAAUAUAAAAGGAACUACAGAAAGGUGAAGACCAAUUUUGAAUUAGGAAGGCAGUUAGGGGGUUGUUUUCACUGAUUUUUUCGUAAAUAAAAGCAGGUACCGACAUUUUUUUGAUUAUAAGUCGCUUAAUUUUCAUGCUAGAAACUUUUUAUUAUUAUUUUUUGAAAGGUCUAAUUGUAUACUUGAAAAAAUAUUAUUUAAGGUUUCCUCGAAAAAUGCAAAUUUUUCCCAUUAUUUGGCUUUGAAUAUUUCAAAUUAUGCAUUUGACGAAGAAAGCUAACCUUUAACAUGCCGUAUCUCGGUUUGUAUUGGUCUUAAAGAUAUUAUUGGAAAAGAAUUUGGUUUGUGCUACUAAAAGAUACAAUUUUGAUAUCUACAGUUUUGUUUUGAUUAAAUGCGUAUUUUUCGAGGUAUGUAUUCGUAAAAAAACCAUCUAAUAAAGUCGAUUUUUUCGUCGAAAAACUGUUAUUUUCAAGCGCGAAUAACUCGAAAAAUAUUAGUUUUACGAAGAAAAUGUAAAAAACAUUUUUGAAGUUAUACUUCUUUACGCGCGAUGAGGGUGAAUUUUUAUAUGUUAAAACCAGGCGCAUACGCAUCACCCAGGCGCAUACGCGCAUUAUAACUUUGUUCUGAUUGGAUGUUCAAAUGACAUGUCAAAAAUUAUCCAAUAUGGCAGCUGUAGGACAGCUGUGGUUUGGAGGAAAAGGUAAAGGUAGACAAAUGUAUAAUAUAUUAGUUUUAUUGUUGUGAGGACAGAAACAAAACAGUUUAUAAUAUUGUAGUGACUUUUAAAUAGUUUUUAAAAGCAACAGGUACGUAAUAAUUGUUAAUGUAUCAUGGGUAUAAACCUACCUACCUGUUUGAUCUGCCAAAGUACAUAGUAUGUAAUAAUGUAAUACUUUUAUUUAUAUAAUUUGAUUACCAUCAAUAUUCACCUAAUAUAUUGUUUUCUUACUAUAUGUUUUGUUGUAUUUUUUUUCAAUUCUAAAGUCCACUUUACAUCAACAAUAAUUGAACAAGAAAUUGACAACAAGUUAUUCAAGGUCAAAUUUGGCUUAUACAAAACACAAUUCUACAUCCAAUUUUGCCGUGAAUAAAAAGAAAAUAAAGAAAUUUGACAAAAUAAAACAUAUCCAAUUGUUCUAUUUCAUCAAAUUCCUUCAUUUUCUUUUACAAACCAUACAUUUUGUACUCGUCAAAUUUGGCCUUGAAUAACUUUGUCAAUUUCUUGUUCAAUUUAUUGUUGAUGUAAAGUGCACUUAAAUCAUUUCAAUUCAAAAUUAAAAUAAUUUGAUCAAUUUUCAAAAUAUCACAAGUUUAAUGACGUUCUACACCUUCGGCAAAGAAUUAAGGAUUUGCAUGAAAUUUUAGUAUGUUAUAGUUUACUUAAAAAAACUAAGACUUGAUUUUUUAAAAAAUGUUUUACCGUGCCGUUUAAUUACUAUUAAGGGUCAAAGUUAAGUUUUAACAUGGGCUCUUAUGGGAAUUCUUAAAAAGUUAAUAACUUUUGACCCAAAUUUACGAUUUUUAAUUAUUUGUGCUUAAAUUAACGGUAUUUUUGUAAGGAAUAACAUAUUAAAAAAUGAGGAUUGUUUACCGUACCAUUAUUAAAUAAAAGUGAAAUUACUGUUUCGAAAUUUAACAAAGUUGGUAGUAGUGAGAUCAGCUGCACUCAUAAUUAUAUCCGAAACGUACGUGUCAAUCACAUGACCUCGGUGGUCUAGUUGUUGAGCGUUCGGUCAGAGUUCGAAACGUCCCGGGUUCCAAUCCUCUACGAUUCAUUAUUUUUUAGUUGUUUUAAUAAAAAUUUUUUGAAAGUGGUAGAUAAGAAAGUUAGUUUAAUAUUUAAAUAGAAUACAAUACAAUUACUUCGUUAAAAUUAUAUAAUAGAAGUAUAACUUCUUACGUGCGUACAAAGUACACACACAUUCUUUUUUCUUAGAAUCACUUUUUCCAUCGAAUUACAUGGUUAAAAUGUAAUAAAAAAUUCCCACCCCCGAGAUGGGGUGGCAACCACUUCCAAGGUUUUAGCGUAUGAUAGCGGCAUGAUAUAGAAAAUGAUCCUUGGACUAUUCCCUACCUUCUGUGAAAAUUUCAAGUAAAUCCAUGCUGGACGAAAAAAUUGCAAGCCAAAAUGCUUCAUUUCCUCAAUCGACUAUUGGGGCAGACCGACCGGCUCUGUCCCGUCAUACAGCUGACCGACUAUAAUAACUUUUACUUAUAUUUAAUUUAGAAUGUGUGUACUGAUUUUCAGCCUUAGUAAAUGGAAAUAAUUACCUUCGUAGGAAAGCAACUUUGAUACCCUCUCAGUAACCCCUGUUCUACGUUUCGCUUUACCGACCACAGUAUGUUUCUCUACACACUCACAGUAAUCAACUGCGAAUAAUCUAGCUUUAGUAAAUUCAAAGAGAUUUUUCAGCGCUGCCUCUCCGUCUAUAAGCGGACAGGUGAUGAAUGUAUAUUGUAGAGUUUCCUAUUGUCCGCUAUUUAUCAACCUGUAUGCUUUAUAAUUUUUUAAAAAGCUCAGGAAAUAGAUAGUCAUCAAGGAUUUUGCAUAGAUCAUUUACUCUUUCACUUGUGUUUUAGUUAAAUAGCUAUUAAAUUGUAGCAUCAGCGAAAAGACUGAAAAUGCUUUCAGAUUUCACUCAUUUUUUUAUACUAAGGCUCGUAAAAUUGUAAUUGUUGCCACAUAUGUGCCUUACUUUUGUUUUCUCCAUCUUCUUUAUACAAAUUAUUGUGAACAAUGUUUCAUUUUAAAUAACUAAAUACUCAAGCAUAUACAGUAGAUAAUAUUGUUAAAUCUAGGUUAGUCAAAUUAAUCUUAUUUGAAUUAAUAUUUUACGGCUUAAGUUAAGCCAUUGUAAGGCAAAACUCUUUAUAAUAAAAUAACUAACAAAUGAUAGAAAUGUAUUGUGAUUUUGUCGUAUUUUUCUUUUUGAUCGAUACAACUGUCCAAAAUCGUGUUCAAACAUCAUUAAUAUCGCUUCUCUUCCCUGGCAAUUUUUUUUCAUCCGCUUUUCAUAGCGUCUGACGUUUUCUAGUUCCUAGUGUCCAUUCUUGUUUGUCGUCCCAAUCUUCUGACUGAAUUUUCACCUCUUACAUUUCUCUUUGAUCUAAUUAUGGCUGUUUGGUCUUCCUCUUUUCCUUCCUUCAACUGACACCCAUGUUUUUGCUUAGGAAGUCAUCUGUCAUCAAUUUUUUUGAACAAAUAUGUUAUGUGCGUUCAUUUUCGUCAAUAAUAAUUGAUGAUACUUAUAUUUUGUCGUAUUUGGUCAUUGGGUAUUUUUACAGUCUUGAUUUUCUGGCAGAUCUUCGUCAGAAGUCCAUUUUCAAGGACAAUAAGCUUGCAAUGGAUGUAUUUGCCUGUCAUACCAUUCAUAGAGUACGAUACUUUUAAAUAUUGAGUUAAAUAAGUGUUUUCUUUUAUAAAAUAUAUGUUUGGACCACAGUAUUGAAUUUAGAGCUAUGACUUUUGCACCCUCUCACUAAUCUUUCCUCUAUUUUUUUUUCAGUCCGGCCACUAUGGUUAAUUGUGCGUGAAUAUGUGUACUCCCUACAAGUAUUAAUUACAGUGUUCUCAUCUAUGAUCAGGUUUCUUGUUGUGCUCCCAAUGCACAGACCGAUUCAUGUGUACGUCUCAUUCUUCAUAUUCUUUAAAUAACCUUCUAACCGUAAAUUCUGAACCAUCAUUGUCCUGGCUAUAAUUAUUUGUUCAUCAGCGAAAUAUAGAAUGUACAAAGUAUUCUCCUAAAUCAAUUGUACGUUCAUUUUCAGAGCAGGAUCUUCUCUACCUUCGCAGAACUUCAUUUAGAUAUAUUUUAACAAUACCUGAAAAAUCCUUGCCAGAAUCCUGUAGUACAAGGAAUUCUUCCGUUAAGAAGAUUUAAAAAUUCCUAUUUUUCUAUUAAAUUGUGAUUUUCUCCAUUAAACAUUAUUACUCCAUUAUACCCACAUACUAACCUAUUGUACAUACAUUUAUAAAUCCUAUCCGAAUAUUUAGCUAACUGAAGAGGAAAUAUUUUUAUAGUAUAAAAACAAAUAAUUAUUUCUGUUUGAAUUAAAUAAGUGCAAUUUUAUAUUUUUUCGUUGAUAUUUUUUACUUUUUGUACAUAUAGUUAUAUUUUUAAUUUUUAUAGUUUAUAAGAGAUUUAAAAUGAUAUGAUUUUGUGUUACAAAAGAUAUGAAUAAAUAUUUUUAAGCA